rnacentral:rRNA from 1 species
UGAGACAGUUCGGUCCCUAUCUGUCGUGGGCGUAGGAAAUUUGAGAGGAGCUGUCCUUAGUACGAGAGGACCGGGAUGGACGCACCGCUGGUGCACCAGUUGUUCCGCCAGGAGCACAGCUGGGUAGCUAAGUGCGGUAGGGAUAAGCGCUGAAAGCAUCUAAGCGUGAAGCCCCCCUCAAGAUGAGAUUUCCCAAUCAGUAAGACCCCUUGAAGACGACGAGGUUGAUAGGCCUGAGGUGGAAGUGCAGCAAUGUAUGGAGCUGACAGGUACUAAUCGGUCGAGGGCUUAUCCAA